rnacentral:rRNA from 1 species
UUGAACAUGAGAGUUUGAUCCUGGCUCAGAACGAACGCUGGCGGCAGGCUUAACACAUGCAAGUCGAACGCUCGCAGCAAUGCGGGAGUGGCAGACGGGUGAG